rnacentral:rRNA from 1 species
CAGUCGAACGAGGUCCAUCCUUCGGGAGAAGACCUAGUGGCGAACGGGUGCGUAACACGUGAGGAACUUGUCCCGGUCUCUGGGAUAACAGUUGGAAACGACUGCUAAUACCGGAUGACGUCGGAGCGUCGCAUGGCGCGCUGACGAAAGGGUUACCGGAUCGGGAGAGCCUCGCGGCCUAUCAGCUUGUUGGUGGGGUAACGGCCUACCAAGGCAUCGACGGGUAGCUGGUCUGAGAGGAUGAUCAGCCACACUGGGACUGAGACACGGCCCAGACUCCUACGGGAGGCAGCAGUGGGGAAUCUUGCGCAAUGGGCGAAAGCCUGACGCAGCAACGCCGCGUGCGGGAAGAAGGCUCUCGGGUUGUAAACCGCUUUCAGAAGGAACGAAACUGACGGUACUUUCAG